GAUGAAUAAAUGAUUUUAAUAAUGAAUAGACACAGUCCAGCAACGGGCAGCGCGGCCGAGCGGAAGCCAGGGCUCGACGCCGGUAGCAACCGUAAACACGACUGGAACACGAAGGACUGAGCGCACAUGAGACGAGGACCCGACAAAGAACAGACACACAGGUGACACUAAAUACACUGG